rnacentral:rRNA from 1 species
UACGGGAGGCAGCAGUGGGGAAUAUUGCACAAUGGGCGAAAGCCUGAUGCAGCUAUGCCGCGUGUAUGAAGAAGGCCUUAGGGUUGUAAAGUACUUUCAUCGGGGAGGAAAAACAAAACUAAUAAUUUUAUUUCUUGACGUUACCCGAAAAAGAAGCACCGGCUAACUCCGUGCCAGCAGCCGCGGUAAUACGGAGGGUGCUAGCGUUAAUCAGAAUUACUGGGCGUAAAGAGCACGUAGGUGGUUUUUUUAAGUCAGAUGUGAAAUCCCUGGGCUUAACCUAGGAACUGCAUUUUGAAACUGAAAUACUAGAGUAUCGUAGAGGGAGGUAGAAUUCUAGGUGUAGCGGUGAAAUGCGUAGAUAUCUGGAGGGAUACCUGUGGCGAAAGCGGCCUCCUAAACGAAUACUGACACUGAGGGUGCGAAAGCGUGGGGAGCAAACAGGGAUUAGAUACC